AAGCCAACAACAUGCACACCUAUCCCAGUGAAGGCGGUGCAUAAGAGCUAAAGGCAAAGAGGGACCCAGGUCAGAAAGACAAUUGUAGUUCCUGAUUUUGCCUUUUUGAUUUCUUCACUUUCCCAAUAACAUUCAGGUGUGGUGUUGGCAGCGGUGGUAAGUCCCACGUCAUAACCUUCCCGAAAUUUUUCCACCGGUCGGUACAAUCCAAACACUCGUUCUUCUUAAAAGAAAAAUAAAAUAAAAGUCAUCCCCAAACGCGUGGAAUUAAGGUUCUACCACAAUUUACACUUCCAAACAACCAUCGGGCAGUAUCUCGGCACCAAGAAGCCCCGCCACAGGGAGUGUUAAUUUUUUCUAAGGAUACCUUUCCCAUUUUAGGGAAAGCGGGCUAAUAAUUUAAGUUUGUGAAGUCACAUGUAGCUUUAAAUAAGCAUCAAUAUUAACAAUCACGAACCCCGCGCUAAUAGCUCUUAAAUACCUCGCUAAUAGCCCCCACGUGGAAAGAAAUCCCCAAGUGUUAUAAAUUCAAUUUAACGACCAGAAAACCUCCUGGGCAGCAGCGAAAUACGAAAACUCCCUUCUCCGAGUUCCCUGCCUUUGAUUUAUUUUUAACUACAGGCUCAUGGGAGCGCGGCGCUGGAAAAUCACGUCCAGAUGUACCUAAAGAGGCGUUUUCUCUGCUGAAACCCUCUCUUCUAAAGGGAGCAGAAAACAAAAAUCUUUGAAAUAGUUUGGAUUUUGGUUUUAACGUGGAUUUAAUUGUAAAAAGGGGCAAAGCAGCGGCUGCGUUCGGUGCAAAGACGCUCAGCGAGGAGGGAGCGGCUCUGAAAAUAGAGCGCAGAGGAGCUGGGCUCCCCUAGGGCAGCCUGUACCUGGUGGAGAGAGGCAGCUCAGAGCCCGGGGCUGUUUGUUGGUCUCUUUCCCUGCAUUGGGAGGUGGUGCCCGGGUUUGCCCGAUGCGGUCCGGGUUCCUUCUGUGCGCGCAGGCGGUGCCGGCGCCCCCGCACCCCGGGUCCCGCUCUUUGGGUGAAAUAUCAAAGAUUUGGCCGUAAGAGUGGGUUUGCAGGAGGAGGCAAGAUAAACGGCCCUGAGAAAUGAAGGGGCUUUUCCCAGGGAGUAUCUGUACCUGAUGCCUAAGUCCUCAGUGGGAUUUGCUUGUUGCAGUACUCCCAAGAUGGUUUGAGGUUAGCUGUCCUCAGAAGAAGCAUGGAGGGCUCAAGUUCCCCAGCCAGCACCCUGGAGAGAAAAAACCCAAAACAAACAAAAGAUCCCCAUCCCAGACUUGUGGGAAGAGCAACAAAAUGAGCAGGCAGAUGCUUCCAUCUUCUAUUUACAAGAUUUCAGGAGAAUGCCAGGCCUGACAAUCCAUACCAUAUAGAAGAUCUCUAGGAGCUCCUUCAUCAUGGACUUUCAACUUCACAAUUUCAUGGUUGCUGCAACCAAGACUGCCUUCAGCCCUCUCAUCCCUGAGCAGCCCUUCCUCAUUUGCAAGGAUGGGAUUCAGAAGCUUGUCUCCUCUCACCUUUCAUCAAGAUGGUGUCAAGAAGUUAUCAUUAAUGCAUCUUGGAAGUGGCCAGGAUCCCUUGUACCCUGUUGUGUUGCUGUUUUGACAGUUUUUACAGUAGUUAAACACAACUAUGAGCACUUUAUUAUAAUAAAAUUAUUAAAUAAAACUAUUGUAAGAAUAAAUUAUUUAAAAAACUACAGAGCAAAAA